AUGGUGCGGAGGACGAUUUCCCUGCCGCUGAUCGUGGCCAUGAUCCCACGGAUUCUGGGCGCUUUCAUCGAGCAGUCGCCUUCCUCCUUGUCAAUCGGAGAGGGAGAGUCUGCCAGCGUGUCGUGUACGCUGCUGAAUACGGACUAUCAAUUUAUGUAUUGGUACAGAGAGCGAUCCGAACAGGCAAUAGAUUGUCUCUUCUAUUCUGUUGGACAAGGUUCGGUUACGAACUACACAUCCGAUUCCUACACGGCGACAAGACCCAGCAGCACUCUGUUUAAACUGGGGCUGAGAAAAGCAUCGCCCUCCCACUCUGCCGUCUACUACUGCGCUUCUAGUAGCGCACAGAACUUCAGAUAA